UAGGGAAUCUUCGGCAAUGGACGAAAGUCUGACCGAGCAACGCCGCGUGAGUGAAGAAGGUUUUCGGAUCGUAAAACUCUGUUGUUAGAGAAGAACAAGGACGUUAGUAACUGAACGUCCCCUGACGGUAUCUAACCAGAAAGCCACGGCUAACUACGUGCCAGCAGCCGCGGUAAUACGUAGGUGGCAAGCGUUGUCCGGAUUUAUUGGGCGUAAAGCGAGCGCAGGCGGUUUCUUAAGUCUGAUGUGAAAGCCCCCGGCUCAACCGGGGAGGGUCAUUGGAAGCUGGGAGACUUGAGUGCAGAAGAGGAGGGUGGAAUUCCAUGUGUGGCGGUGAAAUGCGUAGAUAUAUGGAGGAACACCAGUGGCGAAGGCGGCUCUCUGGUCUGUAACUGACGCUGAGGCUAGAAAGCGUGGGGAGCAAACAGG
rnacentral:rRNA from 1 species